AGCACGAGGUGGCUCCCGGCCGCAGGCUGAGCGCAGAGCCGGGCAGACCUCCCUGAACGCGGGCGGGGAUCAAUCUGGGAAAGUUCUCUAGGUGAAUUGCGUCCUGGCAAGGAUGAGAAACCGGAACCAGAAUGACUCUGAAAGAGUGACUCUCCACUUAAAUGAACCUGUGCGUUUCUGUUGCCUUGGGGCACAAGUGUCCAUAUGUGUGUGUGCCCCCCAACCCCCAUCCCCGGCCCCGGCUGAUCUUACCAAUUAGGUUGCAGGAAGGGUUGCUUCUGUCUAAAAAUGGCCAAGGAUCAGCAUUUCUUUGGAGUCGUUUCCACACCUUGUAGCAGUUUUCAGUCAACCACGGUCGUUUUGGAGGGUGUCACUAGGCAUCCAGGCAGCUGGCUAAACCUCCAAUGAGUUUAAUUGAUAGAAAUGCUUUUUAUUGCAUUGCCUACUUCCCUUCUGGUUUUAAGUUUGAACGUGUAGGAUUGUACAGACUGUCCUAUGGGAGUUAACAUAAUCCACAAAAACAACAAUAAGCAUUUCUGGUGUUUUGUGUGGGUAUCAUUUGUGUCAAUAAUCAUUAAACCCAAUGGCAGCAAAAUAGAACUUUGGAGGGGAGGUGCCAAGGUGGCAGGUCACAGAUGAUGUCACAAUCCAGAAGUUUAAGUUAACCUCUCCUGCAAUUAACCACAGGUUAGACUUCAUUGUGGGGAGCGCACUUGUUUUCAAGUUACAGAAAGGUAGGAACCCAGAAAAGAGCAUCAACAAAUAAAUUUGUUUUCCUUGGGUUUAUUUUUCCUUUGCAAUGAGGAGUUCCUUUUUACUUUUACAAAACCUAGGCAUUUUGCCCAGAAGGCAAUAGAAAUGGAUUGGCUUGCUAGCAUGCUGACCAAGUAAAUAGAAAUUUGAACUAACAUUUUUUCCCCCCCAGACAACCACAGAUGUAAUUCAGAAGUUUAGUGUCUUGAUCCGUGGGUGCAGAGAGGGUCAAGAUUCUAUGUAGGUGAAUCUGGGUGAACAACCCACCUACCUCCUACUUCAUAAUUCAAAUAUUUUUACAUUAUGGAGAUAUAUACCUAAUAUAAGUAUACCUAUAUACUUAAACCUAAGUAAAGACCUGAGGAAAACGACGCUGUAGGAUUUUUGAACUGUGUACAUGGGUGAAGUUUUAAGAGCCCCAAAGCCCUCAGCCCUGGGUGUACCGUUGCAGGAUAUGAUUGCUAUAGAUUCUACAUAGACCUCUGUGCCGAAAACUGUUAAAUGGAGAACUAGGAACAUGUGGUCCUUUGUGCUUCAGUUGCCUAUUCUGUCAUGCCAUUUACAGAAAAAUAAAACUGGGAGUGCUGAAACACUCCCAUAAUUCUCGCUUUUGGGAGCCAGAGUCAGGAGCAUCGGGAGUUCAAGACUGCUCUCCUCCAUAUAGGGACCUCAGGUCAAUCUGAGCUACAUAAGACCCUGCCUGACUCCAAAACUCUCAAACAAACAAAAGACAAACAGGUAAGAGCGAGUUUCUGAAGGAGCUCGGUGUAGUUUUUCUGUGAUGUUCACUGACUUUUAAAACAGCAGAUUCUGGGGUUGGAGAGAGUACUGGCUGCUCUUCCAGGGGAAGGGGUGGGUUUCAAUUCCCAGCACUCAUGGGGCAGCUUACAACUGUCUAUCACUCUUGUCCCAAGGGAUCCAAUGCCCUCUUCUGGCUUCUAUGGGCCCUGCAUACACAGGAUGCACGAAAACACCUAUAGCAUAAAAAUAAAAAUGUAAAAAGAAAGCAAAUUAUUUAUCUAAAUGCCCUUGUUUUAACAGUUUCUUUUCACUGAAAGAGGUUUCUUCUUUCUUUCUUUCUUUCUUUCUUUCUUUCUUUCUUUCUUUCUUUCUUUCUUUCUAACCUACUAAAGUUUACUAAAUCCAUGGUUCAUCAUCUUUUAAAAUGCUGUUUGUUUGGGCUGAACAGAUGGCUCAGCGGUUAAGAGCACUGGCUGCUUUUACAGAAGACCCAGGUUCAAUUUCUAGCACCUGUAUGGCGACUCAACAACCAUCUGUGACUCCAGUUUAGGGGACCCGACACCCCUUUUCUGGCUUGCACAGGCACCAGGCAAAGCACCUACACACAUAAAUCUUUAAAGGAUAAAUGAUGUUGGUGACCUUUCUAAAGGAGAGAACGGCGAUGGAAAUGAAGCUCAGUGACAAUGUCCAGCUAGGUUGUGAGUUGGAUCCCAACUAAGGAAGACAAAUGACUACAUUGGCUUCUCUGAAAGGGUGGUGGUAGGCCUGGGUGUGGUGCUACAGAGCUGUAAUCUGAGCCCUGUGUGGGAUUGUUAGGAUCAAGCAGUCAGAGUCAGCCUGGGCUACAUAGUGAGACCUAUCUGGAGAGGGGUUGAGAAGAGAGGACAGCUCGUAGGUAAACAGGUUCCUGUCAGUUCCUUUUUGAAGCAAGAGCACACCGUAAAUCAGCUCUUAACAAAUAUUUCUUUGGUUUGAUAAAACAAACUGAUUAACGCAGGGAAAAAUAGUAGUUUUCUCCUCGUUUAUUUAAUCUUCUGCUUUCAACAUACCCAGAGUCAGGUAUUUAACCAGUGAAAUUUUAUCGAAUUUCCACUUGGUGCCCAUGGUUGUUUAUCUAAGGAUCGUCCUAUGUACUUUCUCAGCAUGUCUAAGCAAUAGAAAAGGCAGUUUCUCUUUCCUCUCUCCCUCCCUCCUUCCUCCCUCCCUCCCUUCCUUCCUCCCUCCCUUCCUUCCUCCCUCCCUCCUUUCUUUCUUUCCUUACCUUUCUUCUCUCUCUCUCUCUCUCUCUUUCUCAUUAUUUGGGAAUGUUUAUCAAAUUGUCUUUUGUAACUUACCUAAUGCCCCCUAUUCUGCCUGGCAUAUAAUUGUUAAAGAGAUAAAGUAAUGAGGAACCACAAGGAACAAAGGAGAAGAGAAUUCUGCUAUGGAACAUUACAUAACCAGCGGGGGUGGGGAGGAAUAAUAUAGGUCUACCUUAUGCAUUCUUCUGAGGGGGAUAAACAGUGAGGACACCUUAGAAAGCAGUCUCAGGUUCAAACAAAACAAAACAAAAACAAAAACUAAAGGGCUGUGGGGAUAGCUCAGUGAACAAAGGUGCUUGCUGCUCAUCCUGAUAACCGGAGGUCAUAUCCUGAGAUCCACAUCGUGGAAGUAGAGAGUUGUCCUCUGACCGCCACAUGUUCCCUGUGGCCAGUUCCACAAAGGAACCUUUGGUGGAGCGGUGCCUUAAGGGAGGAGGAGGAGGAGGAGGAGCAGACCAUAAAAAUGAAAGCAGAGAGGGAGACUGCUGGGGAGUAAAAGGUUUAGGCAGGGAGAGGAGUGUGGGGAUGGGAGCUGGAUAAGGAGGUCAAGAGAAGCAUAACACAAAUAAAGGCUGUGUGGAAAAGCCCCACGGAAAUCUGUUGUCUUGUAACUCAAUUAAAAAGCAUAGUGUUUUUUUUUUUUUCAGGGGAGGGGGUUAAAUAAUCAGAAGGGAGAUACUCUGAGUGGUUGGGUAAUGCUGCCCCCAGAAGCUGAGAGUUACUUAAAAACAAAAAAGAUCUCACUAGCAGGAGAGACACCUUCAUAUGAUUUGAUACUCAGGGAGGCUCCAGAGGCCCCCAAGACAGCAUAGGCUCUUGCCAAGAACUAGGUGACAAGGCUCUAUAGCUAAAGAUACUACACACCUCAGUUGCAAAUAGAGUAAUCACUCUAGAAUGAAAUGAACCCUUCCUCCCUGGUGGGAUGUUUUACGGUGCCAGAAGGGACUGUGCAGGCUGCAGGAGGAAAAGGGGCAUCAUUGGUCUGACUUAGCUGUGAACCCUGGGCACAUCAAAACUAACCUGCCAGGCGAGGUGUGUAAUGGUGGCACGGCUACCAUGGGGUAACCAAAUGCUCUCUGAUUGGGUUUGAGACCCUCAGGAGGGAACCGGUGCUUGGUAUGUUAAACCCAUCAAAACCACAUAUCAUUAGACCUAAGGGGGAACUCACUGUUUUGUUGCAUUGAGUUUACACAGUGUUAACUGACUUCUAAAUAUCUGCGUUUAUACCUUUAAACAAAUGAUUCCCUCAGCCUUAACCCUGGAAGCAUUUCUUGGCAAUGAACCGUGGCGAAUACAGAGACUCAUGGCUGCUCACAAAACACAGCGCAGGGGGAAGACGACACCCAGAGCACCACCCACAGUCAUGCCAGGCACGGUGCAGGCCAGGGAAGACACUCAGAACCUUGCCUGCAUCCAUGCCAUGUGACUCUGGAAGGUGGUGGAGACACCACCACCACCACCACCACCACCACCCUUGCCUGAUACCCUGUCAUGCUGAGCAGGGUAUAAAGAGUCCGAUUGCUGGCAAUAAACUUGUCACAGCGGUGACCCCCUCCAACCGGUGCCUGGUUAAGACUCAUUUCUCACAAGCCAUAUCAAGUAACCUUGGCCUGUAGAGUCAGCUGACUGAGCAAUCAAAAGAAAAACUCAGAACGCCACCUAAGAGUGCAACUGAAGACUCGGAGAAGACUUACAACCUCAGACACCUCCCAUUUCAAGUUCAAUCUGUGUAUCAUCCGCCUGUCCUUGAGAUCUGAUCGCAUUAGCAGCCUGUUGGUGAGCUAAAAUAAAAGAAGCAAAAAGGCGGUGCACUACCUUCCAUUGGCAUUCGCACGCUGUUGUCUCUUCUUGGCUGGAGAGGACAGGAAGGGCAGAAUGAGAGUCUCACAGCUUUGCCUCAGUCCCUGUACAAGGUGGCAGCGUCCGAUUGACAGAGCCAUGAAGACAGCAAGGAACACAAAUGGGUUUGCAAGGAAAUGGACAGAAAAUGUCGAUCAAUCAGAUGUAGGGAUGGAGCCAGCAGGACUCCUCUUUUUGUCUGAGUAAUUAGAAGAGAUUGGCGCAAGGCAGAGGAUGUUGGAGUAGCAGAAGGCUGUGAGGUGGGGGCAGAUGAUGUGUUUGACAUGUGACGUAUGUAAGUGGAGAUGUCACACGAGAGAUUGACAUUUUUCGGGCAUGAGGUAAGAGAGGCCCACGGCAGAGGAGGCUAAAUACAUAUCCACAGAGAGACGAAAACCGGAAGCUGUGUCAGGUAACCGGGGAAAAGCCUCGUUCUGAGGAAGACGCUCCUGAGGGAAUGAGUAGAAUCAAGAGAGACAAACAAAGAUGCUCCUCAGAUUUGGUGACAUCGAGGUCUUGGCUGAGCUGUAGUUGGGGGUAGAGUCCUGAUUCAGUGUUCAGGCUCCUGAGGGCUGAUCAGUAAGGAAUGCAAACACAUUCCUAAGAUAAAUUUAUACAAUUUGGGCUGACGUAAAAUGAGGCGUGACUGCUAAUGACCACUGGGCUUUGGGAAUGACAAAAAUGUUCUGAAUUUGAUGGACAGGGGCUCAGUUGGGAGAACACUUGCCUGGUCACAUUCAUAAGGCCCUGGGUUUGAUUCCCAGGGUUUCCAUGGCAGUAAAGAGAAGCCAUGACCAAAGCCACUCUGGCUUAGGUUCAGUUCAUUAUCAUUGUGGCAGGAAGCAUGGCAGUGUCCAGGCAGGCAUGGCGCUGGAG